CGUAGGGUGCGAGCGUUAAUCGGAAUUACUGGGCGUAAAGCGUGCGCAGGCGGUUAUGCAAGACAGAUGUGAAAUCCCCGGGCUCAACCUGGGAACUGCAUUUGUGACUGCAUGGCUAGAGUGCGGCAGAGGGGGAUGGAAUUCCGCGUGUAGCAGUGAAAUGCGUAGAUAUGCGGAGGAACACCGAUGGCGAAGGCAAUCCCCUGGGCCUGCACUGACGCUCAUGCACGAAAGCGUGGGGAGCAAACAGGAUUAGAUACCCUGGUAGUCCACGCCCUAAACGAUGUCAACUGGUUGUUGGGAAGGUUCCUUCUCAGUAACGUAGCUAACGCGUGAAGUUGACCGCCUGGGGAGUACGGCCGCAAGGUUG
rnacentral:rRNA from 1 species